GUGAGAUUAAUCAUCAUGAUGAUGUUACUGACUCCACUGCUGACCACGCUGCUGUUAGGACUUCAAGGAUCAGAUGCCAACCCAUCUGUGACUCAGUCUCCUGUAUCAAAGUCUGUUGGUGUGGGACAGACGGUCUCUCUGAGCUGUACAGCCAGUACAGGAGUUGAUGAUGAUCUCAGUUGGUACCUGCAGAAACCUGGACAGCCUACCAAACUGUUGUUUUACAAAAUAAGUAGCCGUCAGUCUGGUACUCCGAGUCGUUUCAGCAGCAGUGGAUCUGAACCUGAAUUCACUCUGACAAUCAGUGGGGUUCAGGCUGAGGAUGCAGGAGACUACUACUGUAUGGGAGCAUACUAUGGCCCGGUGUUCACUUUUGGUGGAGGAACCAAACUCAUCGUUGACUUGGGUAUGGUGCGUCCCACCCUGACCGUCCUCCCCCCCUCCAGAGAGGAGCUGCAGAAGGACAGUGCCACACUGGUGUGUCUGGCCAGCGGGGGCUUCCCCUCAACCUGGAGUCUGGGCUGGAAGGUGGGGGGCAGCAGCAGCUCCUCAGGGGUGUCACACAGCCUGGAGGUCCUGGGGAGGGACGGCCACUACAGCUGGAGCAGCACCCUGAGCCUAUCUGCAGACCAGUGGAGGAAGGCGGGCUCAGUGAGCUGUGAGGCCAGUCUGAGUGGACAGAGCCCUGUCACUCAAACCCUGGACCCUGACCGCUGCUCAGAGUAGAGCUUCAGCAACACUUCCUGUCUGGAAAUGAUGCUGCUUCUUUGAUAGAGAUCUUGAUGAAGCUGCAGAUCUCCUCUGUUCACAUAUUUCUGCAAACUCAUGACUCUGCUUUCCUUUGUAGCUUUCUGUUACUCGUAUUCUGCUUAAAAGCUGUUAUUUUUAAAUGUCAUAUAAUAACUGAAUCAUUGGAAAAUAAAACUGUAGAUUUUAAUAAAUAA